UCCCUCUUAGCUCAGCGGUAGAGCGCGUCACUAGUACACUCUCGGUGUAUGACGAGGUCAGUCGUUCAAAUCGGCUAGAGGGAA